CCUGUGCAGCAGCAGCUACUAUAUACACUGCGUCACCGUUCGCAAGCGUGGAGAAUUUUCAACUGGAUCGUUCCUUCUUUCUUCUUCGCUCUCUAUCCCGCUGUUUGCGUCUCUCGAGUAAUCUUCUUCUUCGCAGCAGCAGCAGCUCUUCUUCCUCUUUAUAAACGCAGCUGUAGGCUUCACAGUUAUAUUCGGAGUGUAUUAACUCUUUGUUAUCGAUGAUUUCGAUUAGAUUUACUGUUGGAUCGAACAUCUCGAGUGCUAUGGGCACUGGAGAGUCUCUCGGCAGACACUGACCACGCUGUUCCUGUAUUAUCGACUUUUUAUAUUUAUACAGCUGAAUAGAAAAUACGUGGUAUUCUGAGCUAAUUAUAAAUACUAUAUUCGUAUGAAAUACCAUAACGUUGCGAAGAUCCCCUAAGCCUCGCGAUUCGGCGCGCCUUUUUUGCUGCGCGUCGAGUCUCUCAGCCGCGGAGCGUUUUUUUUUAUCCUUGUUUGCUCUCGGGAGCCGUAUACACGAUUUUUAAUAUAUACGACGGAGCGAACGGAUCAACGUCGCGUCUGUCUUCUCUUAUUUUCUCUAGAUUCUCUAUGGGUCCCAUAUGCGAUCUUUUCGAGCUUAUCGUCCAGGCUAUAGCAAGAUUAAUCGAUUUACGAGAUUUUUCAGAAACGUUUCUCGGAAGCAUUUCAUUCAGGACACGUCCAAGCAGUCGUGUUACGCUUUUUGGAAUACCUCUAUAGCUUCUGCGGGGUAAACAACGCGUUGCGCAAUAUUAUUACAAUAAAAUAGCACUUUGGGUCCUCAGCUUUUUCAGAAAGGCGUAUCGCUUCCUCGAUAACACAGCACACGACCGCAAUGGUACCCUAUAAAAGUCACUGCGCAGCGCGUAUACGAUUCAAUAGCUCGGAUGAUUGAAGCGAGGGCUGCAGCAGCCGAGAAAAAAUGCGAGUCUCGGAUAUAAGCUCGCACGCCUCGUUGACACGCGAGGAAUGCCGCGUAUAUACGAGAAAAAAGUUAUCGCGCCUUCUUUUUCCAUCUGCGGUUGCGGCGACGAUAAAAGAAAAAAUAAGUAAAACGAUGAUCUUUGACUGCAGCAGCAGACGCGAUAAUUUUUCUUCACGCUUUCGAAAAUAUUGUUUGCCACGGGUGUAUACGUGGUUGCGCAAUUUUAAUCGGUGCAGUGUGGGUGUCGAGAACUUGUUUUACAAUUUUUUUUUCUCGAGCGGAUUCUCUACAUAACUCAACGCUAACCGAAUCGUCUCUUUUUUUUUCUGUUACAGGUGAGUCAAUAUUCCGUAAACAAUAUGCACAGGCGUGUUCGUGAGUGUUCGCGACACGUGAACUACGAGGGUCACUCUCCCGUUCGUUUUAUUACGGAGCGAAGAUAACAAGCGGCAGUAAAACGAAAUCGAAGCUUCCCCGGAUACAUAACUCAACUCGAUUAUUCCCAUAUCGGAAAGCUCGGCUCUUCUUCUUCUUCCGAAGUUUUUACACUAUGAAGAAGCUAAUCCAACGUAAUCGAGGCUCUCGAGCCAGACGUCGGCAAACAAUCCAUGUGUGCACGGCUUCUUAGGUUCGCCGAUGGCCAGCCGCCUACAUACACAGCUGAUCGAUAGUCGGCUCGGGUUCGCGGGACGAUAUUUAGAGCGGGUCAACGUCGCCGAUGAAUUUUUGAUAACCGCGACACGGCACGCCAUGUGCUAUUCUCUUCUUCGCUUAUACUCGCGCGCGAGUUUAAUAGCCCAGAGACAUGCAGGGCCUUGAGGGGUUGAUAACUCGCGCCUAUAGCGUUAAAAUUUAACGGACCUUUUUCUUUUCUCUCUCUAUGCAAUAUACCAUUUAAUUCGAGCUUCUAAAUUCGGCCAAUUCGCACACACACACACAGACACUGUAUAGGAAUAAUCUUUCUCCACGCGAAAUUACGCGGUCAUUGUCGCCGUCCGGUUUACAUCACCACAUAAGCGCGGGGGGGACGACGACGACACUUAUAGCAUAUCAGAGAGGGAGACCGAAAGACAGAUGCAAGCGGCGCGACAUUUUCCCAUUGUGCAAUUCUUCUUGCCCUGUGUGAUGCAGCGGCAGAAGUAGCUAACUAACGUUGCGCAGCCGCGAGUUUCGCGCAAUGUUCGCCUCGCAUUAUAAUAAAACGUCGAGUCGUUUUCUUAUAAGGCGAAGCUCGUGCCUACACGUUUUCGGAACGUAUUCCGGGCUCCGAUUCCUCGCGUAUAUUUCGGCGAAGAGUUAAUUAACGGAUUAGUACAGUAAUCACCGCCUGUCGUGUCUGAUAUCCGAGUCGAUGUGUGUACACACGUGCGGAGCGUAAAGAAUCCGCGAGUUUGAACUUUCAACGGCACACCUCUCGGGAUAUUUCUGCAACUGGCCGGCUCGAGAGAGUGAAAGAGAUGCGGCGCGAUUUCGACAUUCCUGUCCGCAGGCGUUCGGUGCAUCGCCGUGGCUUCAUUGAAAACAACCUAUCGCUUCCAUACACACACGCUGAUGAGUUAUAUCGACGCGGAUUUUUGCAAUAACUCGCCGGGAAAGUCGCGUUUGGUGAGCAAAUAUUUUCGGAGACGCGCUGUAUGCGUUUUAUAAGGCCUUAGCUGAAAAUAGAAGCGACGGUGUAUUCUUGUGGUGAUUCACGCGAUUCUGUUUUACACAGCUGAAGUCGAUGCGAGUGAAUCACGAAAAAUCCCAUUAAUUUAUCAUUUCCAUUACGGCUUCGUUCGGUACACACACACACACACACAUCACAGCCUAUAGUCCGAUCUAGAGCAGCGCGCGAUGAAUCACUUUGCGAAAAAAGCUCGACUUCCUUUACACUUUUAAUAAAGAGAACGCUCCGCAUCUAUAACUCGGCUGUGCAACGGAUACACGAUUCUCUCGGUGAAAAUCGCGCAGCCUUAAUCGAUCCUGCCCUCGAAUCGCGAGAGGUGCGUCCGCGCAGAUAAACGUCCGAAAAAAGUCCAUAGGUGUACGCGAGAGUGUAUUAUAUCGACUCUCUCGUGUGCGUUCGUUAAGCCGCGCGUGUAUAACUCGACUUUCAUAUACAACAGCGCAGCGUCUAACAACACGUGUACGUACGUGCGGCUAUGCACAUGUGCACUUAAGUCUGUGUAUAUGUGGUCGAUAAGAUCGAGUGAGAACAGCGCGUUACACUUUCUCCGGUCAGCCGGCGCUGCUAAUUUCGCGGCCCAUUUUCCUCUAUGCUGAGUUUAUGCGUUGUAUUACAUGCUCGGUGUUGUUGCACCUGAUAUUCGCUAUGUUUUUUUCGAUGACGUUUAACUCGUCGUUCUGAGAUGGCUUGUCGUUUAGCUUCAAUUAUACACUUAUACCUUCAUGAAUAUUUAAUAGAAUUUCGCAAAUGGAUUUGUAUUUUAUGUAUAAGUUUCUCGGAUUGAAAGUUAAAUGGGGAUAUAGCACUUGACUUUAUUACGGAGGAGAAGUGGAGCGAUCGGAUUCGUACAUACUAGGUCGAGAGAGUAUAAUCUUAAACAAUAUGUAUUAAUCACAGAAAAGAGUCGGGCAGAGUCGGAGAGAGAUUCAAAUAUUGGUUAUUCCUCUCGAGCAUGACGAUUAUCUGCGUUAAAAGUAGGCUCGCUCGAGAUCCGCGAGACAGGGCUAUCUUUAUCCGCAAUCUCGACUCCUUUUCUUAAUUAUUUAGCUUAAGAAAAAAAACACUGUGCAAACUUUCUAUUCGAUUACUUCAAUUUCCCAAAAGUUCGAAUAUAGAGAAAAAGUGCCUGUAAGAUAGAAUAUUUGAAGGUCGUCGCAACUGCGGAUCACACAGAGUACCUGCCGCGCAAAAAAUCCCUUGAGAGAUUAUCGGUUUCGAAAUCACACUCACGCGUAUACAGACAAUGAGCUUGCGAAAUAGGCGUACGUAUUGCACGGGUAUUUCAGGAAUGUCUAGAUUCAUGUAUGAAUAUACCUUCAGCUGAGAACAUGGAUCGCAUUUUCCGAACAUCGUAUACAAAAUACAAUAAGGUCUUUCACUCCGACGCGCCGAGAAGUAGCGAAACGAGUAUACGGCAACCUCGAAACGAAGUAGUCCAGCGUCUAUCGCUCUCGUGUACACUUCGAUUAGCCAACCUCCUGUAUCGCCGCGCGGAAAUAGAGCCUCGAAAAGUUACAUCUCCUCUGAGGAAUUCGCCUUGAGUGUAAAAAAAAAAUACAAGCCUAAUUUAAUCAGCGUGUAAGCUCUAUUAAUCUCGAAUCAUCGAUGUAAGCUCGAACACGAAUAGCAGUCGACGACAAAUCCUCCGGAAAUCCUCGACACCAUCAAUCUCUCGGGGUCUGCGAAACAGGAGAGAAAUAAAGGGCGUUGGCUGCGUGCGCGUGAGAGACGACGCCCGCAGAGAUCAAACGGCCCGCGCACGUCGUCGGCUUGAACUUGUGUCUUUUUUCUUCUUGACUAUUCUCGUCGACUAGACCGAUUAGUCAAGUGCGAUCGGAUUUUCUCUCCUAACCGGGCACGUGGUUCUGCAUCUCAUUGAGAGGAUCGUUCGUUUCUUUAUUUUUUCUUCACAAUCGCGUUGAGUAACGCCGCGGCGCUGUAAACAGGGAAAGAGGCUUUAUCAGCGCCAGUGUUCUUUUUGUGAUUCAUUCGGAGUUAUGUUUUUAUUGUGCGAGAGUAUGUGACGAAUCUCUCUUUCCUUUUCUCUCUACGCGCAGAGUAUAAGUGACUCAGCAAUCGAUUCUAGUAAUGAUCGCGUAUUACUCCUAUUAAUUAGUUACUCACUUUUUUUAUUGGCACCGACAGCCGCGAUGAAGCCGUUGACGAGUCAAUAAUCGUGAAAAUUAAAAAGCCAUCAUCUAACGGUCAUACAUAAUACACAGUAGUAUACACGAGAGCCUCGUAGUCUUCUUACAUUCCCCUUUCUCUCGUUCUCUCUCCACGACAUACCGACGCAUCAUGCCCAAUUCAACGAGCGCUCAUUGCGCUUGAUUAAUUAAUCUUCCAAUUGGGCCUCAUUAUCCCUGCCGCCGAGGCUUAUCCCAUGCCCGACAUUCCUUUCUCUCCCUUCAGCCCCUUUCUCUCGUCGCGUCGGACGAAGAAAACGUGUGAGUCGUCUAAAUUCAAUGCUACUUCCCUGCUAGAAAUGCUAACGGUUAAUAAGCUAAGUUUUAAGACACUUAGCUAAGUUAUGAUAAAACGAAACUUUUGCUUGAAAUUUGUCAAAUGACUGUUACAAUCCAAAAAUUGUAGGAAAAUACGUUACAAUCGUAAAAAUCCAAAUAUUCGUAAUAAGACAUAUAUACGUUUUAAUGCCAAAACAGGGAAAAACAAUUUUUAACUUAAUAAUAAUACUGAUGUGGUAUUAUAGAUACGCAUCACUAAAAUAUUA